UAUGGUUAGUCCCGGUCCAGCAGAACCCAUGUCACCAGCACGUGCACCUGCUUCCAGCUGUUCCAAAGAGGGAUCUCUGCGUUGCUCAUCCAGUGCUCCCUUUGAAGAACUGCCUCGGGGUUCACGUUGCAGCAUCAAACAGGGACAGAAGGUGCAUCUCGCCUUAGCAGUGGGAGCGUCUACAGCUUAAGUCGCUGGAGUUUAGUGCCGGGCUUCCAGGACUGACUCACUGAUGGUUCUCUGUGGGAUUGAUCGACUACACGGCUCUCUGAAGGCUUGUUUGCCGUCCGAGGAUUCUGAGCUGAGCACCGCGCCUUCUCCCUCCCAGCCUCCCCCGAGACUGGAAGGCCAGAGCCACGGAGAGUCCGGUCCCCCUCCCUUCUCCCCAAGCUCAACAGCUGCUCUGUUCUGAGUCCCGUGAACCGAGCCAAGUUGGGACCUGGGGGGACGGGAACAGCUGGGCCUUUUUGCCCCAAAGCGCAGAGUCAUUGCCGCCAGCCCCCCAGCAGCUGCGCCCCCCCCCCCCCCGCCCCACUCCAGGAUGCUGCACAUGUGGCUGGGGUUCCCAUAGCAACCUCUGUGGGGACCUGCCACCUCUACUUCACUCCUCCUCCUCCUGGACUUGUGUGAGAGGUUGGGGCGAAGACGAGGGGAGAGGGCCAUCGGGCACUUUCACAGGCAAACACCUCCAGUCCGGCGAGGAACGCGCUGUUACUAUCAUUUUACUGGCAAGGAAACCGAGGCCCAAAGGCAUCGGCUUCUAGCCCCAGUUCGCCCACCAGCCAACAAGAGCACUGAUCUGCAGCCACAUCCGUUUGCACUGAUGCGGCCAGCAGCGGUCAACACCGGUCAGGGGCUCUGGCCGUGAGCAGCUGAAACUGACCAGCCCCCACUACGGUGAACAAGGAAGCGUGGAUGGAAGGACGGUGGUGCAGCUCCAGAAAGAGACAAGUGAGACCCAUGACUGAUAAGGACAGGAACAGGGCGGCUUUGAGGACCCGGGGUGGAGCAGGAACGAAUGGACACUCAUUUCGUCGGAAUGAAUAAACUGUUUUGCAAUCUUCCUGUCUCUCCACGUAGGACUCGGGUUCAGGCCUGGGGCCAGUGCCACCUGUUGGCCGGGAGGGGGCAGACGCUGUGAUCAACAGUCCUACCAAGACUGUAUCUCAUGGGGUCGGGAGUGGUCUCCAAAUUAAACUCGGGAUGCGGCUUCCAGAAGAAAGGGGAACGAAUGCCAGGCAGGCCAAAGCUCAAGUUCCCCUGACCAUCCCGUGGUGAUGGGCACGCAGGGUGGGAGACUUCCUACAGGGAAUGAAGAAGGGGAUAGAAGAUGCAUAGAGGGGGCGCUUCUGAGAAAAGCUAGGGCCAGCAGCAGUGAGGAGACAGGCACCCAGAAGAAAGAAGGUGUAAGCCAACCUGUCUGCUUUCAUGGGAACAAAAUGCACCUAUGUCCACCCUGUUAACUGAUCAUCCUUCAGCACCCCAACACACACACAUUCCUUUUCUCGUUAGCUUCUUACCCAAUAUUUAAUUCCCAGGAUCGUGGACAACUGUCUAGCAUCAGCCUUGGUUGACAGAAAAAGUCCGGUCACCUUCUAAUAUUCUAUACAAUUUACUUAUUAUAGUCAUUGUUUAUGGCCUGCCUCUCCUGUCCUUUCUAGAAUAUGAGCUCCAGGAGGGCAGGGAUUCUCUCCUGUUUGUUCACUGCUAUAUCCCUCAUGCCUGAGGGAGUGCCUGGCACAUAGUAGGUGCUCAAUAAAUGUUUGUUCAAUGAGUGAGGAAGUACCAAGCACUCCGAUAGGCGUGUGGGAUACAACAGUGAACUAAAGGAAGGUCCUGACCUCAUGGAGCUAUAGUCUAGUGAGACCCAAACCACAGCAAAAAUAGAUAGCAAAAGAACAGAAUGAAAAUACUGAAAAUUGUAAUAUAUGCUUUGAAGGAAACAAGUAUUUUUUAAAAAAGGAAUAAGGAAGCGGGAAAUCAAGAUAUGGCAGUCAUAGGACAGAAGUCCUCUCUUCAGCAACAUCUAUUUAAAGGGAGAGCUAAAGGAUAGGAAGGGGCUGACCACAAGAGGUGUGAAGGCAAUUCUUCCCAGAAGUGUAAAGAGCAUGUGCAAAGGCCCUGAGGCUGGGAAAGAACUCAGUGUGUUUGGGAAAUGGAAUGACGAGACCAGUGUGGCUAGAGUUUAGUAGCCAAGGGCCAGAGGAUACAGGUUGAGAAUGGAGAGCGUGCCGGGCACCAGGCCCCCGGGGGCCUUGUCAGCCAUGGUGCUUGGAUUGCAUUGCGGGAAAGGUGGGAAGGUGUUAAGGCAUUUUUCGCAUGAGUGCUUGACCCUGUUUAUGAUGCAAGCUGAUCACUCUGUUCUGGCUGCCAGGUGGAGAAUACACUAAAUCAGGGCACGGUGGACCGGUCACUAGGCACUUGUGGCAGUCCAGAUUGAGCACAGGUGGUCCAAGGCAGGGGACAGUGGGCCACUCUCAGGUCACCUCUCAGUUAAAUCAGCUUGGAUGAUAUCACCCUCUGGGGGCCGUAAAGGUACCCCCCAGCCCCAGUCUGCUACUCCCAGUCCAUGGGUGAUGGAUGGACCCACUGAUGAUCUGGCUGGGCCCUGUGCCUAAGUGACGGGUGACAGAUGGGGUUGGAACAGAAUGCUCUGAGCCAUGUGGCCAAUGCACUGCUCUGAGGAGGACUUGGGAGCCAGGAGUUAAUUUAAAGAAAGGAGUGGGGGAGCUCAAGAUCGCUUCCUCCACUGCUCAAUUAGCGGAGAGGGCUGUAGGGAGCUGGAGUUUUAAAGAUCCCCUUAAUCAUCUUCUGUCUGCCUGGCAGUGUGCAGGAGUGUGGCAGGGAUAAUUGCACCUACCCAUUAACAAAUGCAAUUAAGGCUCUGGGGCCUCCAGCACCCCCUUCUCCAAUGAAACAGCAGAUGAGGGGCCCAUGGGGGUGGCCUUUGAGAUGAAUCACUUGAAGCUGAAAACUUGGAGGCUGGAAGUCUGGACAGAGAGGCGAUUACAGUCGAUAAAAUCGUGAUGGGAAAGGAGAGACUCUUAUCUACUCCCAGCCUGCUCCAGCUUGAGGCCCUCCGGGCAGCUGGAUGGCCAUUCUUUAGGGCAAAUUAGAAUUUCUGCUUUACACAGAGGACAGCCAAUAUUUGGAACCCACCAACCAGCGCCUCAAGCCAGCCGCUUCCUCUCUGCCAAGCACACACUCACAGAGUGUCUAGAUGCAAGAGAAUUCCUAGGUAAUUCAUGC